rnacentral:misc_RNA from 1 species
UAGGAAAGUCAUAAAUAUAUAAAUUAUAUUAUAUAAUUAAUAUAAUAAUAAAAUAAAUUAUAUAUUUUAUUUAUAAUAUUAUUUCUUUAUAAGAUAAAUAUUAUCUAAUUAAUAAUUAGAUUGAAUAAUAUUUAUAAAGAAAUAUAUAUAUAUAUAUAAAGUCAUUAUAUAAAUUAAAUUAUAAUUUAAAUAAAUUUUAUAUAAAUUAAUAUAAUAUUAAUAAAGUAAUUAGUAUAAAUAAAUAAUAUGAAAAUAAAACUUAAUAAAUAUAUAAAUAUAGUCCGG